rnacentral:lncRNA from 1 species
GACUCAAACUAAGAGCCUUCGCCAUCAAAGCUUGAUAAGUUCUACCUCGCUCGAACUGAAUUUAAUGCCAAGAGCCUUCGCCAUCAAAGCUUGAUAAGUUUGACCUCGCUCGAACUGAGACUCAGGCUAAGUGCCUUCAUUAUUAAAGUUUUAUAAGUUUGACCUCGCUCGGACUGAAUUUAAGGCCAAGUGCCUUCGCCAUCAAAGUCUGAUAAGUU